rnacentral:lncRNA from 1 species
UUUUCCUUUUCUGUGUUCAUGAGUUUGUUUAAAAUUGAAAUUAGUUAAUUUUCUUCUGCUGGACAGUAUUAAAUAGAGUGGGGUUGUUGAGUUAAUCUGCUAGAUUGCAGUACUAAUGAUAGUGGUAUAGUGUCUUCAUGAUAUUAUUUGUACUUAUUUGAACAAUAAUGAUAAAGAAGUGGUUCAUUAUUUCUUCAUUAAUGCACUUUAAGGUGGAAUGGAAAGCAACCUGGAGAGCGAAGUGCAUUACUUAAAGAUGCAGCAUAUACACUUCUCAUUUUAAAACAGCACGUAUUUAUUAAAAGAGGAAAAAAG